UUAUGACGUAAAUCACAGAGUACUUGGCAUAAACAUUACUUCACUUGACGUUCCAUUCUUCCUGUAUGAAUGUUUACGUUCCAUUGCGACUACAUUUUAAAGAUUCUUUUUUUCCGUUUUUCUCUUUUCUCCCAGCUUCUAAAAAUCUAGUAAUUAAUUGACUUGUGUACCUGUACAGUGUCUCUCUAAUCAUGGUACUUUCAUUACGGAACCCGUCAUUUCCAUAGUGGUACAAAACGUCCUUAGAACCCUGCCUUUGUCCUUUAAUUCGAUUUAACCAG